rnacentral:rRNA from 1 species
AGCGAACGCUGGCGGCAGGCCUAACACAUGCAAGUCGAACGGAUCCUUCGGGAUUAGUGGCGGACGGGUGAGUAACACGUGGGAACGUGCCCUUUGGUUCGGAACAACUCAGGGAAACUUGAGCUAAUACAGGAUGUGCCCUUCGGGGGAAAGAUUUAUCGCCAUUGGAGCGGCCCGCGUCUGAUUAGCUAGUUGGUGAGGUAAAGGCUCACCAAGGCGACGAUCAGUAGCUGGUUUGAGAGGAUGAUCAGCCACAUUGGGACUGAGACACGGCCCAAACUCCUACGGGAGGCAGCAGUGGGGAAUCUUGCGCAAUGGGCGAAAGCCUGACGCAGCCGUGCCGCGUGAAUGAUGAAGGUCUUAGGAUCGUAAAAUUCUUUCACCGGGGACGAUAAUGACGGUACCCGGAGAAGAAGCCCCGGCUAACUUCGUGCCAGCCGCCGCCGUAACAC